GAUGAACGCUGGCGGCGUGCUUAACACAUGCAAGUCGAACGGGAUCCAUCAGGCUUUGCUUGGUGGUGAGAGUGGCGAACGGGUGAGUAAUGCGUGACCGACCUGCCCCAUACACCGGAAUAGCUCCUGGAAACGGGUGGUAAUGCCGGAUGCUCCAGUUGAUCGCAUGGUCUUCUGGGAAAGCUUUCGCGGUAUGGGAUGGGGUCGCGUCCUAUCAGCUUGACGGCGGGGUAACGGCCCACCGUGGCGUCGACGGGUAGCCGGCCUGAGAGGGCGACCGGCCACAUGGGGACUGAGAUACGGCCCAGACUCCUACGGGAGGCAGCAGUGGGGAAUAUUGCACAAUGGGCGCAAGCCUGAUGCAGCGACGCCGCGUGAGGGAUGGAGGCCUUCGGGUUGUAAACCUCUUUUAUCGGGGAGCAAGCGAGAGUGAGUUUACCCGUUGAAUAAGCACCGGCUAACUACGUGCCAGCCGCCGCGGUAA
rnacentral:rRNA from 1 species